CCGGAUUGCAAUUAAAUAAAACCAGGUCCAUUCCAAAAUACAAUUCAAUACAAUACAAUACAAUAUUAUUUAAAUAUAUCUGAAUGCAUUGCUUGCGAAUUAGAUCCUAAUCCAUUUCAUAAUCAAUAAGAAACUCUCGAUUUUCCAAUGAUUAAAAGAACAUAUUCAAAUCCUCAAAUCAAAAUUCAAUCAAAAGAAAUUAACGGAACAAACAAUUGAAGAAACGAUAGAAAACAAUUAAACCAAGGGGAACACCUAAACAUAUAGAUCAUAACUUUAUAAGGAGGUACAAUAUAUUAAUUGAAAAUUGUACAUCGCAAACAACAUAGCAUCGAGAAUUGUACACAGCAUAAAACGUAGCAUCACGAGGUGACACAGAUUUGCAGUAGUUGAAAUAGAAAUUUCUUACUUAUCAUAGAACAUAAGAGGAGGAAAAAGGCCUAUACAAAAACGACGUCGCACCGAGUCAAACGGGGAGGUUAGCAACGUCAUUUGAUUUUUGGCCGUUCACCUUAUCCGAGGGAGGGUUCGGGGUGGUGUUGGUGGCGGCAGCAGUGGGGGUGCUGACAGAGGCGGUCGGGGAAGCAACGGAGGAGAAAUCGUCUAAGUCAUCGUCUUCUUCGGGAUCAGAGGUGGAGACGUUGACGCAUGAGAAGCGUUCGAGGGAGGAGAAGAAGGCGGACGAGACGGUGGAUCCAAACCAGUUGGCCACGGAGGCGAUGCUGCCGUCGUUCUCCAUCAACUCAGAUCCAAUUCUCCAAUCGUAACCGUAACGGAUUCCUUCUUAAGUUUUCACGAUAUCAACCUCUGAAAAAUGUGGUUGGAGGAUGGGUUACCCUUGUUACAAUGCUAUCCGAGGUCAGCCAAAACAAAAAG
rnacentral:lncRNA from 1 species